CCGUGCAGCCGGGGAGGUAGCGGCGCCCUGAACCUGCAAUCCGCUAUAGCAGGGGUUAUGGUUUGUGUCGGGUAUAUCUUGUAGGGCUGCCCUUUAUAAGUGAUGUUGACGUCCGGGUCUUAUGCAACGGGGUCCUGUGAACCGUGUCAGGUCAGGAAUGGAGCAGCACUAAGCAGAUCAUCUCGUGUGACAUGAGGGUGCCUGGACCGAGUUAACUGUAAAGGUAACGCUUAUGGGAUAUUCACAAAGCAAACCGCACGG
rfam:Eubacterium sp. CAG:161 genomic scaffold, scf23